rnacentral:lncRNA from 1 species
ACCUGAACAUAAAAGAAGAGAUCUGCCGUUUUGGUUUCAUCUCUCGAAUUCACUCUAUCUUUUCCUUUGUUUUCAAAUCUUUAGAUACUUCCUUUAUUUAUUCAUUUUUAUUGAUUCCAUUUCUAUUUCCUUUACUUAAUUCAUCUCUCAUUCAAAGUUCUGAAAGAGAUUCUGAUUUAUCUUCAUUUGGAGCCGAAAUCUUUGCUCUGUUUUAGCUCAAAUCGAUGUCAUGAAAUUUCAUAUAUUCUCCUUUCCAUCUCGGCAUUGACUAGAUGAAUUUAGACAAAUUUUAAGCAUGGUGAAUUCUUUUCCGGAAAAUAAUAGAUCUUAAUCAGUAAGAGUCGAGGUGGGUGUCCGAUUUUUUGGGCUCCCGUCGAGGUCGUGUUUGCCGACUCGCUGGAGUUUGGUCCAGUUGUUGAAUUGUAGACCUUUAAAAUUCAGAUUUUGGCAAUAAAGAUUUGUUUCUGUUA